GAUGAAGAACGUAGUGAAAUGCGAUAAGUAGUGUGAAUUGCAGAAUUCAGUGAAUCAUCGAGUCUUUGAACGCACAUUGCGCCCCCUGGUAUUCCGGGGGGCAUGCCUGUCCGAGCGUCAUUGCUGCCCUCAAGCACGGCUUGUGUGUUGGGCUCCGUCCCCCCGGGGACGGGCCCGAAAGGCAGCGGCGGCACCGAGUCCGGUCCUCGAGCGUAUGGGGCUUUGUCACCCGCUCUGUAGGCCCGGCCGGCGCCAGCCGACAACCCAUCAUCCUUUUCAGGUUGACCUCGGAUCAGGUAGGGAUACCCGCUGAACUUAAGCAUAUCAAUAAGCGGAGGA
rnacentral:misc_RNA from 1 species